UACGUAGGGUGCGAGCGUUGUCCGGAAUUAUUGGGCGUAAAGAGCUUGUAGGCGGUUUGUCGCGUCUGCCGUGAAAAUCCGGGGCUCAACCCCGGACUUGCGGUGGGUACGGGCAGACUAGAGUGUGGUAGGGGAGACUGGAAUUCCUGGUGUAGCGGUGAAAUGCGCAGAUAUCAGGAGGAACACCGAUGGCGAAGGCAGGUCUCUGGGCCAUUACUGACACUGAGAAGCGAAAGCAUGGGGGAGCGAACAGG
rnacentral:rRNA from 1 species